rnacentral:misc_RNA from 1 species
GAUGAAGAACGCAGCGAAAUGCGAUAAGUAGUGUGAAUUGCAGAAUUCAGUGAAUCAUCGAAUCUUUGAACGCACAUUGCGCCCCUUGGUAUUCCAUGGGGCAUGCCUGUUCGAGCGUCAUUUGUACCUCCAAGCUCUGCUUGGUGUUGGGUGUUUGUCUCGCCUCUGCGUGUAGACUCGCCUCAAAACAAUUGGCAGCCGGCGUAUUGAUUUCGGAGCGCAGUACAUCUCGCGCUUUGCACUCAUAACGACGACGUCCAAAAGUACAUUUUUACACUCUUGACCUCGGAUCAGGUAGGGAUACCCGCUGAACUUAAGCAUAUCAAUAAGCGGAGGA